UACAAAGAAUCGUGGAAUCAACCUCAGGUGAUGAGGGGUUGAUGUUUGAAGCUUUAAAUCUUCAUGAUGAGCUUCGACAAGUCAUUUCCAGGUACGAGGAAAUGGAAGCAGCGCUAGAGUUGGGAGAAAGACUGCCUAAAACACCUGAAGAUGGAAGUGGCCUGCCUAACACAGCUCUUGAAUCGGGAGAAAGACUGCCCCCUAAAACACCUGAAAAUGGAAGUGGCCUGCUCAAUGUUGCUGAUACCAGUGAAGCCAAUUUAGAGAAGCCGGCUUUAAAUGCAAGGGAAAGCCAUGCUGUAGCCCCUACAAAAGAAGAAAACAAUCAGUCACACCCUGAGGUUGUAAAACCGGGCAUU
rnacentral:lncRNA from 1 species